AUGUCGGGUGUUAGUUUCCGCACUGAUGUGGAGGAUAUAUAUAGGUCGUGUGGCUACGCUAUUUUAGGAGGACAAAGAGUAAUUGAUAAUUCAUAUUUAUACACAUCCAAGUAUAUGACAUUAAAUGUCUAUUAUAUAUUCAGGCCUCCAGAAGCUCCAGUGCAUAGCGGACGGCUAAAGCGUGCGGAGAAUGUCAAGAGAGGGCGGGGUCGACCGAUUUUGACAUGGGAGGAGUCCGUUAAGAGAGACCUGAAGGAUUGGAGUAUCGACAAAGAGCUAGCUAUGGACAGGGGUGCAUGGAAGCUUGCUAUCCAUGUGCCAGAGCCAUGA
rnacentral:rRNA from 1 species